rnacentral:lncRNA from 1 species
ACAUUUUAUCCAGCUUAGAAAUAAGCAGGAAACUCAGAGAACUUGUUCUUGACAAUAAGACCUCAGUAAUAAUACUGAAUAGAAAUUCAACCAAGUGGAUCUGACAGAAGCGAAGGCAGACAUCCAGGAGAUUCUUGUGGUCUCUUAAGUUACAAACUUUGCUGAACAUCUAACAUGGACUGGAUAGAUGCUAAUGAGUCUUAGUGUCGGAAACAACUUCAUGAGUCAAAGGAAUGAAGUCAUAAUGCUGGAUUUCUGAGAGCUGGUUUGCAUUCUGUAGCUUCAGAGAUGGAUAGAUUAUGCAACAGUCCCCAAACUCAUCUGACGACACAUCUCCCCCUCCCAUUUUUUUUUCAAGAACACAUGACCUACUUUAUCAAAUGUCCUAUGUGGUAGCUUCAAAAAUACUUGCUGCUCCUUUCUGUAGUAUCCUUUUUCUACAGCAUUAUCCUUCCCUACUCCUCUGGGCACAGGGGUGGUUAUGUGACCUGCUUUGGCCAAUGUAACAUGACUGCAAGUGGCAUGUGUCACUUCUGAGCAGACCCUUUAGGAACCAGCCUAUAGUCUACCUAUUCUUUUAACCCUCUGCUACAAGACCAGUUUUGUCCCAGAGAAAGAUUGUGCCAAUAGCCCAGAGUUAUAGAGUGUCCUGUGAUGGAAAUGGAAAAGCAUAAGAAAGAAAUCUUUGAAGUCAUAAGCCGUUAAUAUUUUAGGUUCAUUGUUACCACAGCUAACUUAACUUAAGCUGACUAUGUCUACCCCUAAGCAUUUCUAAAUUGCUUGAACCUUUCUACUUUUUACAGGUGCACUCAUUUAGUCUCAAUCUUACAAAUGAUGAGAUGUUCUUUGAAUCAUCCUUUAGGUUCAGACAGUAACACUUGAAGAUGAACUAGAAAAACACAUAUGAAACAGAACUCAAGGCAAUGGUGCUCAAACUUUUGUAUGCCUAGAAAGUUACCUGGA